UCACUGGCUUCUUGAAAAGCUUUUCAAGCUUGUAUUAAAGGCUUAGUUUAUAAACCAUAAGGCCACUCACUAAUGCGGACCAUGGUCUCUGCAUCUCUGCUGUACAGAGCUCCCUUUGAUGCAUUAAUCACUUACACGGCCGUAUUGUGCUUCCAGACACCAACACAUUCUGGGUAUUUGGUGCUCAACAUUUCAAAAAAGUUGAGCUCUUUGCUUGUGUAUAGUUGUAAUCCCCUAACAUCUGAAAUCCAACUGAGAGAGGUGCAGUGGAAGUGCCCCAGGAAUGUGGUUUUCUUAAAGGACACCCUUGGAUUGAAAGUGCCUCGAAAAUCAUCAGCUACAUUGGGGAGUCGGAUGAAAAGGAUGAAUAACAGUAGUCAUGGUUUCAACUAUCUAGACAGGAAUAUUAUUUGCUAACACAGUAUAAUUAUCUUCACCUUUUCUUGCAGUGUCAAUCACCAUACUCAUCAGGUCACACCUUAAUGAUGGAAAGGGUGGGGAACCAUACAUAUAAAAGUCUAGAUAUAAAGCCAGAAAACAGUUUGUGAACAGCUUAUUCAAACUGUAAAGAUUAUUAUUAACUACAUCAACACAAGUCUGGUAUUUAAGAAUAAAGUCAGGAUACCUGUACUUUACAUGAGUAUUUUAACCAAAAUUGCUACUUCUGUUAUUUAUUAAAUGUUAUUUAUACUCCAACACUUUUCACAAAUAUUGUACCUCUUACAUUUAUUUUGCAUAUUUAGUUACAAAUUCAUUUGCAAAUUUAGAUUUUUACGUGAUCUAUUUAUCAAGUAAUAAAUUAUGAUAUAGAAUAUUAUAGUUUGAGCUACCCAGCAGUUUAUACAGUUAAUAAAAUAAGCCCAACAAUAUGAAAGGGAUAAACAAAUACAUUUAUCAAUAGUUAAAAAAACAGUUAUAAUAUUAUUAGUUGGGACAUUCUAAUGAAUACAUUCACUUGUGGUACUAUUUGUUUGUGUGCUAAAAUGUUGUACUAUAUCUGAAGUCAAAUUUUAAAUGCUGAACAUUUACUUGUAAAAGAGUAUUACUAUACUGUGAUAUUCCUACUUUUAAGUAAAAUAUCUUAGUACUUUCACAACUGGUUCUGUCAACUGGGAUGUUAUCUUAUAUUAUGCGAUACAGUUACUCUGUUUGCUUUAUUUAUUUGCAACAACGUUGGAUAACACUCCGUAGUUAUCAACUCAACAGGGUAAUCAUGCUGAUCAAUGUACAUGUUUACCCAUUGGAUUGAGUAUCCCUGUGUAGAUCAGUCAGUCUAACAUUUAUUGUCAUCAGCUCUCGUCAUUUUAACAAUAGUUUUCAAAACUAACCAGUGCUGACCAUUGAAAUCCAUUUUUUCGGGGCAUUGCAUUGCAAGUAUCUUUAACUUCUAUGAGUCUUUUUGUAAUAGCUUGAUUAUAGUCAUUUACAUCAUCUGUGGUCAACUUCCGUUAAUACAUCACUCUUUUUUAUUUAUUUUUUUCAGGCCAGCAUUAAGCCCUCCUAAACAUUUGUGUUAUAAUUUCUCUGUGUAACAGACCAUUCUAAAAUGUAUUAACUUACGUUAAUUUUCAUCUUGUUUUAAAAGAGGGAAUGUUAGAUUCCUUUAGUAGAGUUAACAUGCUGCAGGUUUUCUGAAGGGCAGCCAUCAUUUUGCCAAAACAGCUUACUAUGCCUCCCUCUAGUGGUCAAAGUGGGUAAAGCAUACAAUUCUCAAAUUGCUGUGCUCAAUUGCUCAGGUUAACAGGAUUUGAUUGUUUUAAUUCUUGUAAGGGGUGGAAAAAUACCUAAGUACAUCAACACAAGUCUGGUAUUUAAGAAUAAAGUCAGGAUACCUGUACUUUACAUGAGUAUUUUAACCAAAAUUGCUACUUCUGUUAUUUAUUAAAUGCUAUUUAUACUCCAACACUUUUCACAAAUAUUGUACCUCUUACAUUUAUUUUGCAUAUUUAGUUACAAGUUCAUUUGCAAAUUUAGAUUUUUACGUGAUCUAUUUAUCAAGUAAUAAAUUACGAUAUAGAAUAUUAUAGUUUGAGCUACCCAGCAGUUCAUACAGUUAAUAAAAUAAGCCCAACAAUAUGGAAGGGAUAAACAAAUACAUUUAUCAAUAGUUAAAAAAACAGUUAUAAUACGAUUAUUAGUUGGGACAUUCUAAUGAAUACAUUCACUUGUGGUACUAUUUGUUUGCUAAAAUGUUGUACUGAAGUCAAAUUUUAAAUGCUGAACAUUUACUUGCAAAGAGUAUUACUAUACUGUGAUAUUCCUACUUUUAAGUAAAAUAUCUUAGUACUUUCACAACUGGUUCUGUCAACUGGGAUGUUAUCUUAUAUUACAGUUACUCUGCUUUAUUUGUUAGGACAAUUCAGUGAAUGCCACACGUGCGAUGCAUCCUGUAAGACCUGCUUUGGCCCACAAGCACUCGAUUGUUCUACUUGUUUCAAAGGGAAUUUCUUGAGUCAGGACAGUUCCUGUGUAGUGCAGUGUCCAUCCGGCUCUUAUACAAGCUCUGCCACUCAGCUGUGUGAGGACUGCUCUCCAAACUGUGAGUCUUGCAUGGACACCAGAGAUAACUGCAUCAGCUGCUCCAAAGGGAGCUACACACUCUUUCUCCACCAGGGGAGGUGCUGGUCAACUUGCCCAGAAGGUUUCUUUGAGACAUUAGAGGGGGCCUGUGAAGCCUGUGAUGUCUCCUGUUCCUCAUGUGAUGGGAUCAAGACCCAGUGUCUGUCCUGUGCUGAUGGCCACUACUUGGAAGGGGGUAUGUGUAGACUCAACUGUUCACUGAGGUCCUACCCUGCAGAUGAUGGCACCUGCAGACGCUGUCCCCCCCACUGUGACGUGUGCUCGGAUGACAGGACCUGUUUCAGUGAGUUAUUUACUCUGUGGGCGGGUACGUUUUAAGGGAAAAUUAUGUUGAAUUCAGGGGUGUCAAAACUUUUUUCACCGAGGGCCACAUACAGAAAAAUAUACGAAGAGCUGGGCCACUCACUAGAGGUGAGGUAUAUUGCCUCAUAAGUUAAGUUAUAUGUCAGUAAAAUCAAUCAAAUGUAUAGGUAAAUUAUGCUUAAUACUUGAAUAUGCUUUAAGAAAAACAACAGCCUACAUCACAGCUCUCCAUAGGGUUUCAUUUAUUUUGUUAGCAGCUAAUUCCUUAAAACAGGAGCCUCAGCUUGCUUAUCAUAAGAGGAACUAGGAAUGGUUUAUUUCAAGCGUGUUAUGAAAAUAAGUUAUUGGGCUUUUUUCUUAUCAACUUAGAUUUCAUAAAAAAUGUUUUCAGCUUGAAUUGAAUGAAUUCGUUUGAAGAGUGGGCUUCUUAACACAUGAAUACUGUGUAAUGUCUGUUUUCAUCUUGAUUUAACCUGUUAAACCCCAAGCCUGUUUUUCAGGUUUCAGGCUCGAAAAUGACAUGCCCAGAAC